CCUACGGGAGGCUGCAGUGGGGGAUAUUGCACAAUGGGGGGAACCCUGAUGCAGCGACGCCGCGUGAAGGAAGAAGUAUCUCGGUAUGUAAAAUUCUAUCAGCAGGGAAGAAAAUGACGUUACCUGACUAAGAAGCCCCGGCCAACUACGUGCCAGCAGCCUCGGUAAUACGUAGGGGGCAAGCGUUAACCGGAUUUAAUGGGUGUAAAGGGAGCUUAAGUGGCAGUGCAAGUCAGAAGUGAAAGCCCGGGGGUCAACUCCGGGACUGCCUUUGACACUGUACCGCUUGAUUGCAGGAGAGGCAAGUGGAAUUCCUGGUGUAGCGGUGAAAUGCGUAGAUAUUAGGAAGAACACCAGUGGCGAAGGCGGCUUGCUGGCCUGUAAAUGACGCUGAGGCUCGAAAGCGUGGGGAGCAAACAGGAUUAGAUACCCCAGUAGUC
rnacentral:rRNA from 1 species